GGUCUGUACCAGAGAUGGAGAAGGUAAAAGCAUUCUUUUUUUUCCCUCUCUGCUAUUUUCACACUUGUGUUGCUGGGAGACUAAAGUUUGGCCCUUGGGGCUGGAAUGGAAGAUGCCCAUUCAGCACUGGAGAUCUCACUGUCUGCAUCACUGCCCUCUGCAGCUAUGUAGAGAUCUGUACAAAGGUUAAGAAGGGCCUGGAUGAUAUUCUGAAGAUGAUUCUUGAGGAGUUUGACAUGACAAAAAUCAUGCAGAAGACUACUAUUGUCUGGAGCUCCUAUGCCCUUGUUUGCCUUCAAGAACGUGAGUGGAUAACUUUCUCCUGUCAGCUGGACCUCAGACUGAAGAUGGCAGUGCUGCAGUCCAUGCUCUUCUGUAAUGCUGUACCAGACACACAGACCAAAUGUGCGUACCCUUCCCCACUGG